AUGAACGCUGGCGGCGUGCCUAAUACAUGCAAGUCGAGCGAACAGACGAGGAGCUUGCUCCUCUGACGUUAGCGGCGGACGGGUGAGUAACACGUGGAUAACCUACCUAUAAGACUGGGAUAACUUCGGGAAACCGGAGCUAAUACCGGAUAAUAUAUUGAACCGCAUGGUUCAAUAGUGAAAGACGGUUUUGCUGUCACUUAUAGAUGGAUCCGCGCCGCAUUAGCUAGUUGGUAAGGUAACGGCUUACCAAGGCAACGAUGCGUAGCCGACCUGAGAGGGUGAUCGGCCACACUGGAACUGAGACACGGUCCAGACUCCUACGGGAGGCAGCAGUAGGGAAUCUUCCGCAAUGGGCGAAAGCCUGACGGAGCAACGCCGCGUGAGUGAUGAAGGUCUUCGGAUCGUAAAACUCUGUUAUCAGGGAAGAACAAAUGUGUAAGUAACUAUGCACGUCUUGACGGUACCUAAUCAGAAAGCCACGGCUAACUACGUG
rnacentral:rRNA from 1 species